rnacentral:lncRNA from 1 species
ACGGAGCCUUGAGAACGAGUGGCCGAGGGGACCCCUGCGGCCCUGCGCGCCUAAGGGAGGACCUGACUCCUUUCAGAAUUAGCAUUUCUUCCCCUUCGUGGGUGCUCUUGAGUUCCAAAGAAAAGGAAGAGAAGCCUUCAUUGAGCAGCUUCUUCUGCCUUAGGGACUGUGCUAGGGGGUAGAUCGACCUUAGGGGAAACAAUCCCCGCUUAUUAGAGGAGGUUUUGGAUCAGGGUUUGCUUUAUUUGAAAUUUAACAAAUA